rnacentral:misc_RNA from 1 species
UAGUGCUCCAGGAGUAUA